CUCAUUCAGUCUUCCGGCCGCAUUUCUGAGGAAGGGUCAUACACGAGGAGUUUCCUUUUUCUGAACAGUUUCUGUUUUAAUCAUUAUUUGCAUAAUAUUUUGGAGAACAGGAUAGCAACAUGAGAACGCUGGUUGCCAUUCUGCUUUUCGCUGCAUUGGUUAGCUUUUCAGCUACGGCCAUGCCUCAGCGAAGCAGUGAAUGGAAACCGUGUCUCCAGUGUGGAUGUGCUUUUCCAAGACACAACGGCAUCUUCACCUGUCCAAAAUGCAAGGGAACCAGACACAGUAACGGCGAUGGUAGCGGUCGGGAUGGUACGAAGGGCAAUGGACGGAAAUAAGGUCGCCGAAAGAGCCGUGGAGGAUGCAAGCUGUUUGUGAAGUGCAUUUUGUGUCUUGCAUAAAAAUGUGAUGAUAAUAAUCGUGAUUUCCUUUUUUU